CAACUAGUAUUAUAUACUAGUAUUUUGCUAAGUUUGACCUGAAACAUUUGAAAGGAGUUAAAUGACAAGGGAGUUAGUAUAUAGAGAGAGAGAAACUUGAGCAGCAUCUCUCCAGAGAACAAUACAAAGUGAAGCAGCAUAAGCACACUUGAUUGAGUCUAGAGGGAUAGGGAGUCAGAGAGGAAGGUGUAUGUUGUUGCCUCUUUCACAUUAGCUACCACAAGUUAUUAGUGAGUGGGGCAUGAGAGGUCGUGACAUGGCUUGACGGGGGUGGAUGCGAGAAGUUGAAAGGGUAGAAGAAAAUGGAGUAUAUGUGAGAAGACCAAGAUGCAUCAACAAAUGAGAAAGGGUGGAGGAGAGAGAAACUAAGUUUUUAUAUAUAUAUAUAUAUAUAUAUAUAUAUAAGAAAAUAGACAUUUAAUUGUUGUAAUGUCCCUCAAAUGAAUGAAUUAAAUUUGAAGCAAUGACUACUUUUUUGGUACUAAUUUUUUUCGUAUAGGUUAUUAAUACACUCUAGCUGAAAAAAUAGUAUGAGUACAUUAACAAACUCCUAAAAUAUAAUAUCAAAUUAUUCAACUAGUGGAUUAA